GCGUUAUCCUGUAGCUAUUUAGCUAGAUAGCUUAUGCAAGGGAGUUGCAUUCCCACAUGCUGCGAAAAGACUUAUCAAGUGGGUCCACCUGAGUUCUUCCUUUGCCGGCUCAGCUGUCUAUACAAAAAUUAGAAAUAAUCCAGGGUGAGUUACUUUCACAAUGUCAGCAGAAACAGCAAGAUGAGCACAGGCCAACACGGUGUCUCUGCAGAUCUGUGCAGAACCUGUGAGUGUGGGUUGAUGAGUAGUAUGUAGGUCUGUGCCCAAGAUCCGAGCCCGCAAACCCCAAGUUUCCUCACCGAAGCAGAGCAUGUGAACUCAACCGCUACGCCACCGGGCUGGCUCCGUGGAAGGCAUUUUCCAGGGGAAGUAUCACUGCAAGCAGGGGUAAUCACCCAAGUCAUCCUACCAAAUGUAGCGAAAGCAGAGUGCUGCUACUGCUAUAGAAGCUACCUAUUAAAAUCCGAGUUAGAUUAUGUUAUUCUCUGCUAGAAAUUCUUCAAUGAUACCUCUCUUACUCAGAAUAAAAGCCAUCGCUCUUACAAUAAACUUUAAGGUUCCACAUUACCUGGUACCCCCAUUGCUU
rnacentral:lncRNA from 1 species